CCAGUCCUGAAAAGGUUAGUGACUAGAAUACCCGAAGGAAUUUUCUACAAUUAUCCUUAUAUGCUCAAUACACAAGGUAAUGUUGCAAAUAAUUAAAAGCUCAUGUUACAAUCUGAUCAGUGCUUGUUUUAGGACACUAAGCUUGUCCUUGGGAAACCAUCGAUUUAUGUCAGUGAAGUGGUUUCCCCUCCAACGCUGACCUAUAUCA
rnacentral:lncRNA from 1 species